rnacentral:rRNA from 1 species
GAUGAACGCUGGCGGCGUGCCUAAUACAUGCAAGUAGAACGCUGAAGGAGGAGCUUGCUCUUCUGGAUGAGUUGCGAACGGGUGAGUAACGCGUAGGUAACCUGCCUGGUAGCGGGGGAUAACUAUUGGAAACGAUAGCUAAUACCGCAUGACAACAGUUAUUGCAUGAUAACUGUUUAAAAGGGGCAACUGCUCCACUACCAGAUGGACCUGCGUUGUAUUAGCUAGUUGGUGAGGUAACGGCUCACCAAGGCGACGAUACAUAGCCGACCUGGGAUGGUGAUCGGCCACACUGGGACUGAGACACGGCCCAGAAUCCUACGGGGGGCAGCAGUAGGGGAUCAUCGGAAAUGGACGGAAGGCUGACCGAGGAACGCCGCGUGAGGGAAGAAGGUUCUCGGAUCGGAAAGCUCUGUUGUAAGAGAAGAACGAGUGUGAGAGUGGAAAGUUCACACUGUGACGGUAUCUUACCAGAAAGGGACGGCUAACUACGUG